GCUCCUGUAGCUCAGUGGUUAGAGCGACGGUCUUAUGAGCCGUAGGUCGUGGGUUCGACCCCCGCCGGGAGUA
rfam:Perkinsus marinus ATCC 50983 gcontig_1104296702690, whole genome shotgun sequence.